UACAGAGAGGAAGGAGGAAGUAAUAUACUAUUUAAUUGACAGAAAAAGAUUCUGACAAGAUAAAAGCAUAACACAGUAACGUGGAUUGCAGCCGAAGGAUCGCUUGAAUUUAACACUUGGCUCGUUUUUAAUCAGUUGUCUCAUUCCAGAUAGCAACAACAAAGAAAAACCAACAAUGACGCAGACCACAAUGACGACAUCACCGCCAUCUUUAUCCCACAUAUCAGGUACCUCCGUGAUCAUUAUCUCAGUCUGUGUGGUUCUCCUGCUCUUUAUUAUUGUUCUCAACUUGGUCAUUAAAUGGAAAUGGAAUGAAGACGAUCCCAGUUCCUUUCAUAACACUGAUGCAUUCAUACAGACGUGCAUGGCCAUUAGUGACAUAUGCAUUUGGAUUGAGUAGGAAACCCUUCUGCUCUCCCACUAAAGGAAUGUGUCCUAGUUUGCACGGGUUAGUUUUGAAAACCUUGAACGCAGGUGUCCUUCAAAGUCCCUCGGUCUUCUAACAAAGGAUCCUCUUCAAG